rnacentral:rRNA from 1 species
AGCUCCAAUAGCGUAUAUUAAAGUUGUUGCAGUUAAAAAGCUCGUAGUUGGAUUUCUGGUGGGGGUGUUUGGCCGGCUCUAAUGAGUUUUGCGCCUAUACGUCUCCGCCAUCCUUGGGGAAAACUUGCUUGGCAUUAAGUUGUCGAGUUUGGGAUCCCCAUCGUUUACUGUGAAAAAAUUAGAGUGUUCAAAGCAGGCUUAUGCCGUUGAAUACAUUAGCAUGGAAUAAUAAGAUAGGACCUUGGUACUAUUUUGUUGGUUUGCGUACCUAGGUAAUGAUUAAUAGGGACAGUUGGGGGUAUUCGUAUUCAAUUGUCAGAGGUGAAAUUCUUGGAUUUAUGGAAGACGAACUACUGCGAAAGCAUUUACCAAGGAUGUUUUCAUUA